AGAGUUUGAUCAUGGCUCAGAUUGAACGCUGGCGGCAUGCCUUACACAUGCAAGUCGAACGGCAGCGCGGGAGCAAUCCUGGCGGCGAGUGGCGAACGGGUGAGUAAUACAUCGGAACGUGCCCAAUCGUGGGGGAUAACGCAGCGAAAGCUGUGCUAAUACCGCAUACGAUCUACGGAUGAAAGCAGGGGACCGCAAGGCCUUGCGCGAAUGGAGCGGCCGAUGGCAGAUUAGGUAGUUGGUGAGGUAAAGGCUCACCAAGCCUGCGAUCUGUAGCUGGUCUGAGAGGACGACCAGCCACACUGGGACUGAGACACGGCCCAGACUCCUACGGGAGGCAGCAGUGGGGAAUUUUGGACAAUGGGCGCAAGCCUGAUCCAGCCAUGCCGCGUGCAGGAUGAAGGCCUUCGGGUUGUAAACUGCUUUUGUACGGAACGAAAAGGUUGUCUCUAAUAAAGACGGCUCAUGACGGUACCGUAAGAAUAAGCACCGGCUAACUACGUGCCAGCAGCCGCGGUAAUACGUAGGGUGCAAGCGUUAAUCGGAAUUACUGGGCGUAAAGCGUGCGCAGGCGGUGAUGUAAGACAGUUGUGAAAUCCCCGGGCUCAACCUGGGAACUGCAUCUGUGACUGCAUCGCUGGAGUGCGGCAGAGGGGGAUGGAAUUCCGCGUAGCAGUGAAAUGCGUAGAUAUGCGGAGGAACACCGAUGGCGAAGGCAAUCCCCUGGGCCUGCACUGACGCUCAUGCACGAAAGCGUGGGGAGCAAACAGGAUUAGAUACCCUAGUAGUCC
rnacentral:rRNA from 1 species